rnacentral:rRNA from 1 species
GUGGCGAACGGGUGAGUAACACGUGAGUAACCUGCCCUUGACUCUGGGAUAAGCGUUGGAAACGACGUCUAAUACCGGAUACGACCAGCCCUGGCAUCGGGUGUUGGUGGAAAGAAUUUUGGUCAAGGAUGGACUCGCGGCCUAUCAGGUAGUUGGUGAGGUAAUGGCUCACCAAGCCUACGACGGGUAGCCGGCCUGAGAGGGUGACCGGCCACACUGGGACUGAGACACGGCCCAGACUCCUACGGGAGGCAGCAGUGGGGAAUAUUGCACAAUGGGCGAAAGCCUGAUGCAGCAACGCCGCGUGAGGGACGACGGCCUUCGGGUUGUAAACCUCUUUUAGCAGGGAAGAAGCGAAAGUGACGGUACCUGCAGAAAAAGCACCGGCUAACUACGUGCCAGCAGCCGCGGUAAUACGUAGGGUGCAAGCGUUGUCCGGAAUUAUUGGGCGUAAAGAGCUCGUAGGCGGUUUGUCGCGUCUGCUGUGAAAACCCGAGGCUCAACCUCGGGCCUGCAGUGGGUACGGGCAGACUAGAGUGCGGUAGGGGAGAUUGGAAUUCCUGGUGUAGCGGUGGAAUGCGCAGAUAUCAGGAGGAACAC